GCUGCAAGGCAGAAACCAGAGGUAAGUCAGGAUCCCCCCCAGCCCUGCCAGCACAAACCUGGGUACCAGGGUCCAGGCAGAGCUGUGGAUGCUGGCUGGGGCACCACCACCCUGCACGUCCUAUGUGGGGACAGCAGUUUAUUCCCAGUGGCACAGGGGCAGGGCAAUGUCUGCACAGAUUCAAUUUUGUUCCCCCCCAAAACCGUUUCAGAGCUGCCAGAGCUGUUGCAACAGUGGCACUGCAAAAAGUAGGAACCGUGAACUUCAGCAAGGAAGGAAAUCAAAUCAGAUCCUGUAACUCUUGGAGCCUAGAGAGGGACUUCCAUGCCAAGGCCUUCUUAUGGAGACACAGCAAAACCCUCUCCUUGGGCACAAAAGGUUCUUUUCCCAGAUGGGCCAUUUUCUAACCCUAUAUCCUCCUUUCUAUCAGCAAAUCCCUGGCAUCAUCACCAAAUACGUGUUUCUUUAAUCAUCUGUAAUUAGGCUGGGCUUGGCAGGGAAGCAGCCCCAAGCCGUGCAUCCCAAGAUAGGAAUUCAGUGUGCAGCAUUUUUUCCUGCUAGUCUGGGUGCUCCUCUGUGGCUGGAAAAAUCAGCACUUGGCUCUUUUGACUAUUUUCUCUGGGUUUCCAAACAACAGACACAACAGUCUCCUCCGGCAUUGCUGUGCUCCCGUGCUGCCAUGUAAAGCCCUGCCCUGGGCCGUGCCAGCUGCCAAUAAGCACUGGCAGGAUUGGCAUUAAAUUCCAGGAGUCCAAAGCAUCCUGCCAGAGGCUGUGCCAGUGGCCAGUGCCAGAAGCCCAGUGCAGCAGUGCCCACCCAAAGCAAGGACAGGUGAAGGGCAAGAACUGCUCUGCUGCCCUGAGAGCCUCGCCCUGACCUGUGAGCCCGUGGGACUUGUAAUGCUGAAAAUCCAUCAGCCCGUGGCGCAGACCUGCUGCCACCACUGCCCCUGCGUGCCCCUGCUGUGGCACAGCUGCACACUCAGCUGGAACAGCCCUGCUUCCAAAGGCUGAAGGGUUUGGAUUUAAAUCCAAAGGCUGCUUGUGCCAGCCAGGGCCAGGGUGAUGGCCCAGGGUUCCUUGUCCCUCUCUGUGGUCCCCAGGCACGUGGGGUCUCUUUCACUUACAGGAACUGCUUUUGAGGAAACCACAGGGAGAAGAGCAGCCACAGGUUCCCACUGCCAGUGACUCAGUGACACACGAACAGGACUCUGUCACCGCCACGCUGUCCCCACGCUGUCCCCACAGACAGCGAGGGAUUUCACACAUAGGGAACCGAGUCUGAGGGCAGCAAGAGGACACAGACCCAAAGAACCCUUGUGGCUCAAAGCUUCACCCGCUCUGCUGACCAGAGGAGAGUGGCAGCAGAGAGAGCACAGCUGACUUCUAGCGGGUAAUUUUUUACUAAAGCUAUUUCUUUACACCAUUAAAUGAGUGCAUUAAGUGGUCCUGCCCUCCUGUCCUCUCCCCUGCCUCCUGCUCCCACCAGGCAGGAGGAGACAGCUCCAGAGAGCAGCACUCCACAAACACGCUGUCCAGCAGGACUGGGAGAGCGCAGCAGAAUUUCAGACAUCCCAUCAGGAAGCCUUGCUGGUGUCCAUGUGGGUCCCACUUCCACGAGGACAAGGGACCCUGACGUAGCAGAGAAGCACCCACAUGGCCCACAGGUGGACCCACACUGCCCACCCCUGCACAGUGACAUGCUCUGCCCUCCCCGUGGCAAAAGGGUUUAAGGCCAUUUCUGCACUUGGGCAGCACCUGCAGUCCCAAGUAGGGCAGGAUUCUGGGAAUCUUUCUAUACCUCAAUCACUGUCCUUUAUCACCUAACUUCUGAGGCACAAGAAUCUGGGCUGGUCCCAGUGCUUUUACUCCCUCCCAGAAGCAGUUUCCAGGGAGUCCCAUCUCUGGGCUCCAGGAACAUCCUUCGAGCAUCAAGACAAGGAGCUGGGGCUGGCUCCCACCCCAGCCCACAGCCCGGAUCACAGGCAGGCGAGGAGCAGACGGGCGCCACAUUUUCCGAGCCACGUGGCAGGAGCGAGGUGUUUGUUCCCCAGGAAGGGGGAACGGCAGCCCGGCUUCUGCUUCGGUCAUCACCGGAGAAGGGGCAGGAGGCUGCUGCAAACCCCUCCUCACCGCGAUUACCGGGGUCUAGACAGGAAACUCCGUCUCUCCCAGAGAGCAGCGCCGAGCGAGAGGCUGACACACGCUCUGCCCACUCACGGCAGCACAGCUCUGAAGUCAUGCUGGAGGCUGUUCCGGUCCAGCCAGACCUGCCAGGCUGGUGGUAUCUGUUCCCUGAACACCACCCCGCAUCCCCAACCCCACCUCCAGCUUCCAGCUCACAGCUUUCAUUUGCACUCACAGCCCAAGUUAACCCUAUGUCCUCUGAGCCCUGGUUUGGGCCAGCCUGUGGCUGCUGGGCUUCACCUGUGCAUCAGCUGAUGCAUUUCCCUGGGAAAAUGUGUUUGCUGCUCCAGGAGAUCAUCCUCUGCUACCUGUGCCAUGCCAAGUGCAGCCUGUGGGAAUUCCCAGGGCGAUGUCAAAACUGCACUGCUGGUUUGGUCCCUUGUGAAACCAAAGGUGGCUGCUGCUCUCUGAAGCCUCUGGUUUCUCUUCUACAGCUGUAGCUCCAGUGCUCACCAGUCAGGAGCCCAAGGGGACAUGGCAGCAGCCCAAGGGGACAUGGCAGCAGCCCAAGGGGACGUGGCAGCACACUGGCCCUGCACCGCUGGCUUUGGUGGCUGCAUGACCUGCAGGCUGCUGACCCAGAGCUCCUACUCACUCAUCACACCCAUGCCCUAAACUGCCCCCACGCUCCCCCAGCUCCUGUGGGUGCCCAAACUGGCCCCAGAUGCCACUGCCUGAGCCACAGAGCUCCAGGGAAGAGCAGAGAAAGGAGACUGGCUUUGAGAAAGCAGCAGGGGGAAGUUGCCACAUGACACUGAGCUCCCAGAAAAGCCCCAGUUUCCGGCUGCCAAGCAGGGCCAGGCUCCACAGGAGGCUGGGCAGUGACCCUGGUGUGCUGCUGUCCCCCUGAAGUCUCACCAGGAGUGUGGCAAGGCAGUGACAAGGACACCCGGAGGGCACAACAGGAAGCAGCUGGUGUGUCAGCCAAGGGCUCCAACUGCAGCAAGGGGCCGGUUCCUCUUCCUGGUUCACAACUCACACAACCACUUGCUAGAGAAUUAUUUUACAAAACUCUUGUGGGGUGUUACUGAAACUUGUUUCAGAGGAACAGCCUCUGACCAGCAGUGCCAGGCCCUGGCAGCCCCCCCGCUCCCAGAGAAAGGCCAGUGCGUUCCCAUGACCCAGCACAGCUCACUCACAGGGAGGGAUGAGCCAGGGCUGCAGGUCUGUCAGCACUGGAGAAUCUUCUCCCCCACACAGCAAGGAAGGGGAGCUGGAAGCUGCAUGGGAGAGGACGUGUGGGAACGUGGCAGGAUUUGCAGCUACAGGUUUCCAGGUGGACAGCAUACACUCCAAAACUGAGCCAGCUGACCUGAUCCAGCCCAGGACAUGCUCUUAUAUCCUCAUUUCUUCCUGCCCCAGGCCACCCACCAGUUCUCAUCCACUCUCUCCUCUGUGGUGACAACCCCCUGAUCCCCCUUCUGCCCCACACAGAAAGGGCUCUGCCACCUGCACUGGGACACAAGACCAGCACACGGCCGCUGCCACAGCCCAGUGAGGUCUGGGCCUCCUGAGAGCCCUGAGAGGGUGCAAACCCACAGAGCAUGCCCCCAAAAGCCAGUGCAGGCAGUGCCUCCCAGCCUGGUUUCCUAAUUCCUUUAAGUUAAUACCACUCCCAACAACAGUUCCUUCCCCAGGCAGGAAGGGCUGCAGCACUUGGUAACACGACAAACCACAACCCUGAUGAUCUGUCUCAAAACUAGCCCCAAAGGAAGUGUUCUCACCUAAAUCUGCUUUUUGGAAACAGAACUGCCAUGCUAAUAGCUGUGUGGCACCAGGAUGGAGGGCAAGCAGAUUCUUCCUUGAGCAGCAGAGCCAAUCCCACCAACUGGGCCUCCCAGCACAUCCUAGGGGCUCAGAAACUGGACUUUGCACCUUUCCUACCCCUGAGUAUAGAUAUAUCACUAAUCUGAUCAAUAUUCUCCUCUGCCAGCUCUCAGGAGCCUUCUCCACUCCAAGGCUUCCUAAAAAAGGUGUGCAGGACAAAGGGUUCAUUUGUGUGUGGUUCAGUGCAGCUACAUGGACUAAAAACACCAUCUCCCACAGCAAGAGGUGCACGCAAAAAUGGGACUGACCACUCACACAACAUCCAACAGGCAAUGCACAUCCAUCUCCCAUGAACCCUUCCCAGGAGGAAUGGUGGCUGUCCAGCUGACAGCUCCACAGACAGAGCUGCAGGCCCUGGCAGGGAAGGUACCAUCAGCCCCAGCCCUGCCUGCGAGGAGGAGAAGGGCAGGCAGGGCCCUGAUAUGCAAUGGGCCUGGUGGGAUGCAAUGCCCACUGCCAACACAUUCCCAGACACCUGUGGGGGCUGCAGACAAUGGCUUUUGGGGCUCCAUCAGCCCUGGCUGCCUCUGUGUUUGCUGGUGUAGGAAGUGCAGACUCCUGAAGCACCAGCUCGGCUGGCCCCAGCCUGGGGCUGUGCACAGCAUCACGAGCCAGCAGUGCUGGCUGUGCACGCCCCUGACCAAGGUGUGCUGGCGUGGCCAGCCUGUGCCCUGGCACGGGUGGCUGCAGCCAAACAACAUCAGAGGACUCGCCCUGCCACCACCCCACUGCUGGGCUCUCCCCUGCCCUUCACUCCCUGCACCCUGACCAGCUCUGUGCUGUUUGCUUUUGGCAGCAGCUGCGGAAAGACUAGAUCGAAUGCAAAUACAAUUACAGCUCACACCCCGAAGAAGAAAAGGAGCUGUGGUUAACAGAAGUGGCCUGUGGCCUUUUGACACGGUGGGAAGUCACCUCCUGCUCCAGCAGCUCCCACCUCCGCUCCCAUUGCAUCACGCUGCUGGAGAGGCCGAUGCUCCUGAAGAUGACGCACCCGGACCCGGCAUUCCUGGCAGAUUAAAGAGCCAGCAUCCACAGAUUCCACAGCAAGAGAAAACUAUUAAUCAGCUUUUCUUGGAUGGGCUUUUGAUGAUCAAAGCACUGUCUUCCCCCCAGCACUGUGAUUCAGACUCCUCUGCCUUCAGGGAGAGCGGCUUGGCCGCCACCAGCCCUGCGUGUGGCAGGGCCUUGGCUGGAGCUGUGGCUCGGUGGGACAGGGCACAGCAUUCUCACCCAUUCCAAGAGCCCAAAGAGCCCUGUGCUCCCAGAGGGAACAGACACAGCAGCCCUGCCCCUCCAUGCUGCCAUACCCUCCCCCGCACAGGUGAGUUUCCUGUGUCAAGUCAUGGUUUAUCAUUCAACACCAACUUUUGCUCUUCAAAUUCCACUCCUCUCACGUCACCUCUGCAAAUGAAAGAAAGCUUCAACCUCUGACCUGCAAACACAGAUUUGCUUAAGCCCAAACAAAAAUGUUUCCAUGGAAAUUUUACAAUCUAGUAUUGGAACAUGCCUAUUCAUUUCAGCCUGUUCUUUUUUUGCCCCAUUUUUGUUUUCUAAAGUGUUUUUCUGUGAACUUGUUUUACACCCAACUUGUGAGGACAAAACAAGCUGGCAGGUCCCUUCCCAGAGAAUAUAUCUCCUUUCCCAUGGCUCUCAGCAUGUUUGGCUACCAGCCACCAGAUUCUGGCAUCCCACUCUCACACUCAGAAGGUUUCUGUUGAGGAAUGCUGCAGUCUUCAGGCAUGAUGCAGUGCCUCAAACAGGAGCCCUGAGACAGCUCAUCUUGUGACAUCUCAGCAAACCUGUGGCUAGCCAAGAGCUUCUGUAUCCCCUAAAAUUAACUCAAACCAUUUCUGGCAUUCCCUGAGGGCUCUGUGGGAAAGUGAUCAGCAGAUCCUGAGCUAGAGUUGGUUGAUUGGAGAAGGAAUUUCCCUGGGGGAUGGCAAACUGUGCUGCCCGUGCACUGGGGGCCAGGCAGCAGCAGCCCAAGCUGCCCUCAUUCUUGAGGCCACCACUGCUGUUCAGGGGUUGGCAGUGCCCAAACUCCCUCUGGAGAGCAGCACUCCAAACCCUGGCACACACACCCUGUGGAAGGCAAAAAUUUUGGUCAGACUAAGCUCAUGGAAGAAGAUGUGCUGAAGACACGUGCUCUGUUUAAUGGGAUUUCACUUGGAACCCCUGAACAGGAAGGAGGUGAACCUGCUGAACAGCACUCUGCUGCUCCUGCUCCAGGAGAAGCCGAAACAGUGGGCACCAGCAAGGGGGUGGGGUAGGUCUGCAGGCAGCCCUACGCCCUGAUGGGUCCACCCAGCACUGGUCCUCACCCAGUUCAACACUGUGGCACAUGUACACACUGGGAAUUACUACUCUACAGCAACCACCAAAUAUUUAGAUACACUUCAAGACUUUCCAAGCAGUUACUGCCUCAGGAAGUUGCCCAGAGUUUGCUCAAGAAUGAAUGACCUGGAAUAGGAAGGGAGCCCAGCUGGUUUCUGACGACAGCUGCUGACAGAAGCGUGAUGCCAUAUACCUAAGAGGAGAAGUGAUGAUUCAGACCCUGGUGUUUUUCCUCAUCUCUUCCUUCCACAAGGUAACGGGGACCCACUGAACUAUCUGGGUUAGAGUGCAGAAGAGAAAACAUAUAACUACAUUUGCCAACACAAGAGAAUCCUUAAAAGCACCUGCCUAAAGAACUGCUGGUGCAAAUCCAUCAUUGUGUACUGAGCCUACCACAGCACAAACAGCUGGGCUUUCCCCAUCAUCCCUGAAGCUCCUCAAGGAACAUACUCUGGAAAAGCUAAGCUGGAAAAACCCCAUUAACUUCCAUUCUUGGUGCCUUCAAGAGAAGAAGGGGCAAGGUAAGGGGCAGGAAGCCAGGCUGCCUGCCAGCCCUUCUGCCCAACCCCAGCCUCGUGGCAGCAGCACUUCACUGUCUGAGCCACAGCACAGCGCUGCCAGCAGAGAUGGAGACAGCUGCUCUUGGUGAGUGGGAAAUGAUGGAUUAUUCCAGUGAACUCCUGCACCCUUGCCUGAUGUGAACUACUACAAAAGCAAGUGGAUGAGAACCUUUCAGUAGGUGGCAGCAGAAAUGUAUUAUCAACCCAAAGGAUUCCUUUAGGGACACCCCUUCUUGGCACAAUUCCCCAUUUAGAGCAGUUUCCAGGAGUACUUUGCUCCAGGUCAGAUACUGCGCCCUAACCAGGUUACGACAGCAGAGUCAGGUCACACAGAGAACUUGGGGAGGGGAAACUCACACAGAUGCUGAAAACCCCCACGUUCUGUUUCGGCGGAAACAUCCCUCACCAAACUGUCUCUUGCAAAACGUGGCGAGAUGAAGGAGGAGAUGGAAGCAGGAUGGAGGUUUAUCGGGCACAGAUAAUCCCCCUCCCCAGAGCUGCUUGGCACAAAGGCAGCCAGGAGGCACUGCAGGGGCCUGGUGACUAAGGCAAGGACAGCAGUGCUGCGUUUGUGACUAAUUAUUACUCAUGCAAGGAGGAAUUUGGAGAGGGACCCGCAUCCAGCUCAGCUCAUUGCUUUGGAUCCUUCUGUGGCCAUAAGCACAAAGGAGAGCUUUGACAAUGAAUCAGACCCUGCUCUAAAAUGAAAGACUUAUCAACCAACUUGGUGUUAAAAUUAUUUCAGUGUAACAAUAAAGGCAGCUUAAUGC